UACGGAGGGUGCAAGCGUUAUCCGGAUUCACUGGGUUUAAAGGGUGCGUAGGUGGGCUAGUAAGUCCGUGGUGAAAUCUCCAAGCUUAACUUGGAAACUGCCGUGGAUACUAUUAGUCUUGAAUAUUGUGGAGGUAAGCGGAAUAUGUCAUGUAGCGGUGAAAUGCUUAGAUAUGACAUAGAACACCAAUUGCGAAGGCAGCUUACUACAGGGAUAUUGACACUGAGGCACGAAAGCGUGGGGGAUCAAACAGG
rnacentral:rRNA from 1 species